ACUCCGGUAGCUCAAGCGGUAGAGCGGCGGUCUCCAAAACCGCAGGUUGCAGGUUUAAGUCCUGCCGGGAAUGCCA
rnacentral:tRNA from 1 species